GGAGAUUGAAGAGAGAUUCAAGGAGAAACGUUUGGAGAUUCGACGCGCGUGGAGGCCAACUCGAGGGGCAAUGGCGUCGCUAGCUAAAGAAUUAGCCGGUUCGAGAUUCAGGCGUUGCUGGUUCCGCUCAUGAGUGCUGAUUCCUCCAGAUUCAGGCGGCUUUUAGGGAUUACGAGGUAGCUGUUGACGUUCGCAACCCCGUGUCUCUAUUAUCUCAUCUUUUAUAUUCCUUACGGACAUGGUACUAGUUAUUGGAUUCAGCAGACUUGUAUUAUGACUCAUAGAUGCUCAUGACUUGUGACACCCCGGUUAGGGCUGUGUCG